AGCCUCAAGAGCUGAUCUGGUUCAUCCUUGGUGGGUUUAGCUCAGCUUUGGUUGAUCCCUGUUUGAGUCCAUCCCAGUUUUGUUGGGUUUAUCCCUGGUUUUGGUUAAUCCCAGGUUUUGGUUAAUCCCAGGUUGUGGUUUAUCCCUGGUUUUGGUUAAUCCCAGUUUUGUUGGAUUUCUCCCUGGUUUUGGUUAAUCCCAGUUUUUUUUUAUUUCUCCCUGGUUUUGGUUAAUCCCUGGCUCUCCUGGGUUUUCCCUUUAGGGUUUUGGUUAAUCCCAGUUUUGUUGGAUUUCUCCCUGGUUUUGGCCCAUCCCAGUUUUGUUGGAUUUUUGCCUCCUUGGCUCCGUCCCGCCGGAUUUUUCCCGGUUUCCGCGCGCCGGCCCC
rnacentral:lncRNA from 1 species